UUCGUUUACCCCUGUGUCAACAAAAACUGCUACUACCAAAUUCGGAUUUAGACACACAGAACACUCGCACAAAAUCACUGAAAAGGGCAAUAACACAGAGCACAAAAGUAAACAUAGAUGUUCACAAGUGACGCUAAAUCGAUUAUACACAACGCCAACGCUAGCAAGCCUUACUACUAAAUUUCAAAUGUGAUUAACCCAAAAGCUUACAUGGCGACCGUGACAAGUGUGACGAGGAGCAGCGAAAAGGCAACUGGACUCACAAACAUUCUACAUCUGAAGAGUUUGGCAACAAUAAAAGGCGACAGGAGGAAAUAAAAAAAGUCUGAAUAGCUCACAUCAAGUGGCUGCUUUUUGCACAGUCAAAACCGCCCGCAUGGACGACGGCUCAAAAACUUUAUAAUGAGCUUGAACUUUUAAAAGAAAUCCUUCAAAAUAGAGUACCACAAGUCACAACUCAAGCAGCAAAUGAAAUAAAAGUUGCAUGCAUGAGGCCUCAGACAUCAGCAGCAGAUCAACAAGCGGGAGGGGCAACCCGCCACUUUCGCCUGCGAAGCAGCUUCAGUGCAGCCAACCGGCGACGACCAGCUGACGCAGAGGAUGCGGAUCAUCAAUAUAUAUUUAAACUAAAUUUUUUGUAAAAUCGGGCGGAACCAUUUCCGCUUGUUUAGAAGUGUAGCCCGUAAAGCUAUGCGAAACUAUAGGUAGGAUAUAUGUAAAAGAAAACAAAAGAAAGAUAUAUAAGAAAGGCCCUUAUAGAAUAGUAA